rnacentral:rRNA from 1 species
GAUGAACGCUGGCGGCGUGCCUAAUACAUGCAAGUCGAGCGAACAGACGAGGAGCUUGCUCCUCUGACGUUAGCGGCGGACGGGUGAGUAACACGUGGAUAACCUACCUAUCAGACUGGGAUCACUUCGGGAAACCGGAGCUAAUACCGGAUAAUAUAUUGAACCGCAUGGUUCAAUAGUGAAAGACGGUUUUGCUGUCACUUAUAGCUGGAUCCGCGCCGCAUUAGCUAGUUGGUAAGGUAACGGCUUACCAAGGCGACGAUGCGUAGCCGACCUGAGAGGGUGAUCGGCCACACUGGAACUGAGACACGGUCCAGACGCCUACGGGAGGCAGCAGUAGGGAAUCUUCCGCAAUGGGCGAAAGCAUGACGGAGCAACGCCGAGUGAGUGAUGAAGGUCUUCGGAUCGUAAAACUCUGUUAUUAGGGAAGAACAAAUGUGUAAGUAACUAUGCACGGCUUGACGGUACCUAAUCAGAAAGCCACGGCUAACUACGUG